GGCAUAAAUAUGCAUUUGCCCUUUCAAAAGAGUGAGCUGGGUUGAAAAUGAUCAGCUCAGAGUAUAAGAUAUGCAACACCAUUCUGCUUUACGUCAAAGUGGGACAAGCAGAAAAGUGUAUGCUUUCCAACACGAGCAUCAUCGCAUCCGAUAACACUGAGUUCUUGAAACAGAACAACGCUGACCAUUUACUGAAUACUUUAGCAUUAUAUCAAGAUCUCGAGGAUUCUUCUUGUUAGACGCCACAGUCAUACUCCCAACUACAGCUUCCCCCUGGCAUACAGUAAGCACAUCUUCCAGGUAGAGAACCGUUUGCUUCCAGUGUGUACCACGAGACCUUGGUCCUGUGGAGAAGCCAGUCAAUUUGUGACACUUCGUGAAAGAGACAUCAAAGUAAGCUACAAGGGCAUGGAUGUAAUCGUCACGUUCU
rnacentral:misc_RNA from 1 species